rnacentral:lncRNA from 1 species
AUUGCUUUGAGGUUACAGUUCAUAAAAAAGCAAUUAACAUUCAUAUUCUGUUAUGUUACAGCUGGCCAUAAACCAGUUCUUUAUGGCACAAACUAUCCUAACUUUGCAGUAAUUUGCAGUUAUUGAUUAAAAGCAGAAUUAAUUUUUCCAUUAGCAUUAUCCACUUUUCAUCUGUGCAAACAAAUGUCUUAGAUGACAUGUUAAUUUAGUCUUUUGUGUGUGUGUUUUGUGUAGAUUGGGACAGUGCAUCAUUGCCGAAUGAGGCUCUAUCGCCUCUUGGCUUGUAAGAACAUGGAGCUCAUCCAGACCCGUUCAUCAUCACGAGAACGCAGAAUCUCUGAUAAUGGUGACUCUGUUGAGAUCGGACCCACGAGGAACUAGCCCUUUGGUUGCCCUAGGUCGAGUAUUGUAGUUUAAAAACUUUUAAAUUGUGGUUGAAUAAAUGGUAUUGGGGGGUUGAACUUUGUAUGCUGUCUGUUAUGUUUUUUCAAUUUUUUAUUUAAAUUUUUUUGUGUAUUGUUAUUGGAUAAUUUAUUUCUUCCUAUCUAUCUAUCUAUCUAUCUAUCUAUCUAUCUAUCUAUCUAUCUAUCUAUCUACAUGCUUUAACUGAUUAAAAAUUCAACAUAUACAAAUAUGAAAGAGACAACAUUUAGACAUUUAUUUUAAGAUUUUUACAUUCCACCUUAAUCCAUUUUAAUUUUUUUUAAAGGGAAAUACAUCGGCUCUUGAACAACUGUCUAUACUGUUUCCUGUUUUAUUUUAUUGAUUGAAUGGCAUCUUCUUUACCUGAUCACCUGCUCCUCCUCUCCCUCUGCUGACUUUUCUACCCUGCUGCUUUAUUUACCUCGAAUCUGUUAUAAAAACAUGUUAAGAGAUUAUACACCUCAUACCGUUAUGAAAUUUGUGUAUAAUCAUCAUUCAUAAAAUUCUAACAUAGUAGAGAUUAUCUAAAGAAAUAAAUUAAGUAUUGAAACCGCCAGUAGGCGGAAGCGUUUCACUGUUUUAAUGAGUUAGCCACUUAAAUCGUUCAUUCAUCCAAUUCGUUCAAAAGUCAGAUUAAUUUAGGAAGAAAACAAACACCGAUGUGAAUACUUUUGUCAUUGAUAAUUACAGACACUAUUGAAAAAUAAACUAGCAAAACAGACAGCUGCUUUGGUAACUUGUUAUACUGAUAGUUAUAGCUAAAUACAUUGCAAU